GAAAUGCGAUAAUUAAUGUGAAUUGCAGAAUUCAGUGAAUCAUCGAGUCUUUGAACGCACAUUGCGCCCCCUGGUAUUCCGGGGGGCAUGCCUGUCCGAGCGUCAUUGCUGCCCUCAAGCACGGCUUGUGUGUUGGGCUUCCGUCCCUGGCAACGGGGACGGGCCCAAAAGGCAGUGGCGGCACCAUGUCUGUUCCUCGAGCGUAUGGGGCUUUGUCACCCGCUCCCGUAGGUCCAGCUGGCAGCUAGCCUCGCAACCAAUCUUUUUAACCAGGUUGACCUCGGAUCAGGUAGGGAUACCCGCUGAACUUAAGC
rnacentral:misc_RNA from 1 species